rnacentral:lncRNA from 1 species
UAAUAUCCAUUCAUUAUGUUCAAACAAUCAUGAAAUAUUACAUAAUUUCUAGAUACACUUAAAUCACAUAGCAUAUACAUCUCAUCCAUACACUUCAAUCAAAGUAACAUAUAGGCCUCGUCCAGAAAACCUUACUUCAUCCUAUAAACAUAAUAUAUAUAAGGAGGUUUUGCCACAAAAGAUACAAUACAUAUAUGUUAAAUGUUCCACAACCAAACUAAAGUAUUGCCACAAAAGGAGAAAGUACAUAUGUUUCUGGGAGUGCCACACAACCAAAAUGAGCAUAUAGGGGCUUAACCAGCAAAAUGAACAGAGCAACUGUCCAGGUUCAACAAACAAAGCAUAUUACAUCAUCACUCCUCCAACUUAAUCAUCGGUCUUCCAAAUCUUCAGCAGCUUCAAGAUCUUCCUAAUCUCCAUCAACUUCUGUAGUGAAACCUGUAACAGACAGGAAAUUCGAAAUGUAGCUCUCAUUUCAGAUUUUUUAAGUAACAACAUGCUGCGGUUUAACUAGUGGGCAUAAAUAGAAUUCUUGUAAAUGUACAACACUUCAUCAUCACAACAAGCAAUGUUACAUCAUUAGAUCAAGCAGGGAUUGUUUGAAGUGCACAUACAGAAAUCUUCCAUCUGCAAAUAAGCAAAACAAGCACAUGUACAAUCAGUGGUGAAGCCACGUACAAGCUGGGUAGUCCCAGCUUUUUGCUGAAACUAGCAUGUAUGUGUAGAAAUGUUAACAAAUUUGCACAAAUUCAUAUACUUAGCAGUAUUGGCACCGCCAAUAUGUACAAUUGACUUGCAAAACCUGCUCAGUUCAAAACAAUUUAGAACUUACUAGCGAAAGCUAUGACUAAAACUCUACAAUACUAUAUACAACAGAUUGUUGAACUCUAUACAAAUAGGCAAAACUCUAUGCAGUACUAUAUAUUGAAAAAAUAGGCAAAACUCCAUACAAAUAGGCAAAACUCCAUACAAAUAGGCAUGACUGUAUAUUGUAUGUACAUAGUACACUGAAUAGUACAAUUAGGCGGGGGCAGGGACAAGUCAAUCCAAAUACUUCAGGAAAUACAACAGCAAUACCCAUCAUAAAGAAUCUGUUUUAUCACGCCGAAAAACAACACAACUAGGCAAAAUUUGCCAGAGUAGGAAGAGCAAGGAGCUGCCAGUACAAUUAGAUAUUAACAAAUUAGAAUCUGCUAAAAAAUCAGUACUGUACAGAGUUGAGGGCAUGCAAAUUUUCAUUUUGUAAACUUUGGUACUUUACAGAGUACAGGUUGCUUCAGUACUGUACAGUACUAAACUUUAGAAUCUGGUUGCCAUUUAGAAUCUUAAGUACAGAAAUAUUUUCUAUAGUACAAUACUGAAAUACAUUUAUAGUACUGAAAAGCAUCAGUACCAUACAAUUUCCUAUAGGAAAUAUUUCGUAAAAGGAACGCAACCAGGAAAAAUAUUUUGUAAACUUCAGUAUUGUACUAUAGGAAAUAUUUACAAAGUUGAGGGCAUGAAAAUUCUUGGAAACAUGGAUAUUACCUCCUCAGCUUGCUUGUGGUU